rnacentral:rRNA from 1 species
UUAAGCGACUAAGCGUACACGGUGGAUGCCCUGGCAGUCAGAGGCGAUGAAGGGCGUGCUAAUCUGCGAUAAGCGCCGGUAAGGUGAUAUGAACCGUUAUAACCGGCGAUACCCGAAUGGGGAAACCCAGUGUGACUCGUCACACUAUCAUUAACUGAAUCCAUAGGUUAAUGAGGCGAACCGGGGGAACUGAAACAUCUAAGUACCCCGAGGAAAAGAAAUCAACCGAGAUUCCCCCAGUAGCGGCGAGCGAACGGGGAGGAGCCCAGAGCCUGAAUCAGCAUGUGUGUUAGUGGAAGCGUCUGGAAAGGCGCGCGAUACAGGGUGACAGCCCCGUACACAAAAGCGCAUGUGCUGUGAGCUCGAUGAGUAGGGCGGGACACGUGGUAUCCUGUCUGAAUAUGGGGGGACCAUCCUCCAAGGCUAAAUACUCCUGACUGACCGAUAGUGAACCAGUACCGUGAGGGAAAGGCGAAAAGAACCCCGGCGAGGGGAGUGAAAAAGAACCUGAAACCGUGUACGUACAAGCAGUGGGAGCACAGGUUUACCUGUGUGACUGCGUACCUUUUGUAUAAUGGGUCAGCGACUUAUAUUCUGUAGCAAGGUUAACCGAAUAGGGGAGCCGCAGGGAAACCGAGUCUUAACCGGGCGUUAAGUUGCAGGGUAUAGACCCGAAACCCGGUGAUCUAGCCAUGGGCAGGUUGAAGGUUGGGUAACACUAACUGGAGGACCGAACCGACUAAUGUUGAAAAAUUAGCGGAUGACCUGUGGCUGGGGGUGAAAGGCCAAUCAAACCGGGAGAUAGCUGGUUCUCCCCGAAAGCUAUUUAGGUAGCGCCUCGUGAAUUCAUCUCCGGGGGUAGAGCACUGUUUCGGCUAGGGGGCCAUCCCGGCUUACCAACCCGAUGCAAACUGCGAAUACCGGAGAAUGUUAUCACGGGAGACACACGGCGGGUGCUAACGUCCGUCGUGAAGAGGGAAACAACCCAGACCGCCAGCUAAGGUCCCAAAGUCAUGGUUAAGUGGGAAACGAUGUGGGAAGGCCCAGACAGCCAGGAUGUUGGCUUAGAAGCAGCCAUCAUUUAAAGAAAGCGUAAUAGCUCACUGGUCGAGUCGGCCUGCGCGGAAGAUGUAACGGGGCUAAACCAUGCACCGAAGCUGCGGCAGCGACACUGUGUGUUGUUGGGUAGGGGAGCGUUCUGUAAGCCUGUGAAGGUGGCCUGUGAGGGUUGCUGGAGGUAUCAGAAGUGCGAAUGCUGACAUAAGUAACGAUAAAGCGGGUGAAAAGCCCGCUCGCCGGAAGACCAAGGGUUCCUGUCCAACGUUAAUCGGGGCAGGGUGAGUCGACCCCUAAGGCGAGGCCGAAAGGCGUAGUCGAUGGGAAACGGGUUAAUAUUCCCGUACUUGGUGUUACUGCGAAGGGGGGACGGAGAAGGCUAUGUUGGCCGGGCGACGGUUGUCCCGGUUUAAGCGUGUAGGCUGGUUUUCCAGGCAAAUCCGGAAAAUCAAGGCUGAGGCGUGAUGACGAGGCACUACGGUGCUGAAGCAACAAAUGCCCUGCUUCCAGGAAAAGCCUCUAAGCAUCAGGUAACAUCAAAUCGUACCCCAAACCGACACAGGUGGUCAGGUAGAGAAUACCAAGGCGCUUGAGAGAACUCGGGUGAAGGAACUAGGCAAAAUGGUGCCGUAACUUCGGGAGAAGGCACGCUGACAUGUAGGUGAAGUGAUUUACUCACGGAGCUGAAGUCAGUCGAAGAUACCAGCUGGCUGCAACUGUUUAUUAAAAACACAGCACUGUGCAAACACGAAAGUGGACGUAUACGGUGUGACGCCUGCCCGGUGCCGGAAGGUUAAUUGAUGGGGUCAGCGCAAGCGAAGCUCCUGAUCGAAGCCCCGGUAAACGGCGGCCGUAACUAUAACGGUCCUAAGGUAGCGAAAUUCCUUGUCGGGUAAGUUCCGACCUGCACGAAUGGCGUAAUGAUGGCCAGGCUGUCUCCACCCGAGACUCAGUGAAAUUGAACUCGCUGUGAAGAUGCAGUGUACCCGCGGCAAGACGGAAAGACCCCGUGAACCUUUACUAUAGCUUGACACUGAACAUUGAGCCUUGAUGUGUAGGAUAGGUGGGAGGCUUUGAAGUGUGGACGCCAGUCUGCAUGGAGCCGACCUUGAAAUACCACCCUUUAAUGUUUGAUGUUCUAACGUGGACCCGUUACCCGGGUUGCGGACAGUGUCUGGUGGGUAGUUUGACUGGGGCGGUCUCCUCCUAAAGAGUAACGGAGGAGCACGAAGGUUGGCUAAUCCUGGUCGGACAUCAGGAGGUUAGUGCAAUGGCAUAAGCCAGCUUGACUGCGAGCGUGACGGCGCGAGCAGGUGCGAAAGCAGGUCAUAGUGAUCCGGUGGUUCUGAAUGGAAGGGCCAUCGCUCAACGGAUAAAAGGUACUCCGGGGAUAACAGGCUGAUACCGCCCAAGAGUUCAUAUCGACGGCGGUGUUUGGCACCUCGAUGUCGGCUCAUCACAUCCUGGGGCUGAAGUAGGUCCCAAGGGUAUGGCUGUUCGCCAUUUAAAGUGGUACGCGAGCUGGGUUUAGAACGUCGUGAGACAGUUCGGUCCCUAUCUGCCGUGGGCGCUGGAGAACUGAGGGGGGCUGCUCCUAGUACGAGAGGACCGGAGUGGACGCAUCACUGGUGUUCGGGUUGUCAUGCCAAUGGCACUGCCCGGUAGCUAAAUGCGGAAGAGAUAAGUGCUGAAAGCAUCUAAGCACGAAACUUGCCCCGAGAUGAGUUCUCCCUGAGACUUAGAGUCUCCUGAAGGAACGUUGAAGACGACGACGUUGAUAGGCCGGGUGUGUAAGCGCAGCGAUGCGUUGAGCUAACCGGUACUAAUGAACCGUGAGGCUUAACCUU